rnacentral:rRNA from 1 species
CAGUCGCCGCGGUAAUACAGAGGGUGCGAGCGUUAAUCGGAUUUACUGGGCGUAAAGCGUGCGUAGGCGGCUUCUUAAGUCGGAUGUGAAAUCCCUGAGCUUAACUUAGGAAUUGCAUUCGAUACUGGGAAGCUAGAGUAUGGGAAAGGAUGGUAGAAUUCCAGGUGUAGCGGUGAAAUGCGUAGAGAUCUGGAGGAAUACCGAUGGCGAAGGCAGCCAUCUGGCCUAAUACUGACGCUGAGGUACGAAAGCAUGGGGAGCAAACAGGAUUAGAUACCCGUGUAGUCCCUGUCUCUUAUAC